AGAAAGAAAGAAAGAAAGAAAGAAAAAAGAAAAAAGAAA
rnacentral:ribozyme from 14 species